GAUGAACGCUGGCGGCGUGCCUAAUACAUGCAAGUCGAGCGAACGGACGAGAAGCUUGCUUCUCUGAUGUUAGCGGCGGACGGGUGAGUAACACGUGGAUAACCUACCUAUAAGACUGGGAUAACUUCGGGAAACCGGAGCUAAUACCGGAUAAUAUUUUGAACCGCAUGGUUCAAAAGUGAAAGGCGGUCUUGCUGUCACUUAUAGAUGGAUCCGCGCUGCAUUAGCUAGUUGGUAAGGUAACGGCUUACCAAGGCGACGAUGCAUAGCCGACCUGAGAGGGUGAUCGGCCACACUGGAACUGAGACACGGUCCAGACUCCUACGGGAGGCAGCAGUAGGGAAUCUUCCGCAAUGGGCGAAAGCCUGACGGAGCAACGCCGCGUGAGUGAUGAAGGUCUUCGGAUCGUAAAACUCUGUUAUUAGGGAAGAACAUAUGUGUAAGUAACUGUGCACAUCUUGACGGUACCUAAUCAGAAAGCCACGGCUAACUACGUG
rnacentral:rRNA from 1 species